CUCUCCUUUUCUUCGAUCAACAAUUUCGCGAGCGUGUGAAGCAGAAUGAAGAAAAAUGGAGAGAAAGAAAAAAUUGCGAAGCGAAAGGAGAAGGGACCGUUGAUAAAUUAAAAUUCUACCCUGUUUCGAUAAAUAUGUGUGUGUGUGUACAUAUGUAUACGGCCUUUUAUAAUUUAUGGUCGAUUCAGACAACGCACAAGGGUUGAAAGUUGAAAGCAACGCGAAUCGUCGAAAUAGCUAUUUGCACGCCAAUUGAAAGAGUGAAUUUCGCUAUGCCCGGUAUUCGUUAAAUUACGAUAUCGAAAAAUAUGCGGUACAUGAAAUCGGCUAUUUCAAGGGUCCGAAUCAGGUUCGUAUUAUUCGGGAUUAUUCGGGAGAUAUUCGAUAGGAUGGAACGAAAUGUAUAGGUGAAAUUCUUUUAUUUAUGCUAUUCGUCGAGUUUUGGUAACGAGCAAAAAUUAUCUUCUACGAUAUUUGAACUGUAACAUCGAAUUUGCGAAAAUUUAAAAAUAUUUUUUUUUCAACGACCAAGCAUUUCAAAAAAUUACUCUUAUUUUCGUUCGAUUGGUUAAAAUUUUUCCUCCAACAAUUAGAAAAUCGAUUAGAUUAGUGCGAAGAAUAUUAUGCAUGUGUGUGCGUGUGUGUGUGUGUGUGUACAAGUCCUUACCGAGCGAAAUGCUAUUUCCUGUUUGGGUGCUUGCGAGUGAUUUACGAGGGGAGCGUAGUACGUUCGACUCAUCGAUUCAGGUUAUAGCACACUGCGUGUACCAACGUGCAGUAAAAUUUAUACGGUAAUUUAAAAAGAUUUGGCUAAAAAAGAUUGCUUUAAAUUUCGAAGUUAAAUAAGAAAUAUUAAAAUAAAUCUCCAAGUAAUUUUUUAUACUCCAAGACUUCCUCUGAUUUCCCUUACAAUUUCGAACAAUUUUCGCAUUCACCGUUCCUUUCACUUACAAAUACUCUCAUCACACGAAUGCCUCGCAUUUCCACGUCUCAAAGCGUCCCUGGAAAUCGUCCCUAACAAACCACACACGUGCACUGACGCGAUGACACUGUUAAAAAAUAAAUUUAAAUUUCCCUCCGAACAAAAGGGGCCUAAUGAAAAAAACAUCGGAGUGUCCUUUUUAACGGGUCUCCCAUCCAGCUCGAGGCUCAAUUUUAACACGGUUUGCUCGUACUACUUGCCAACAAUCGCGGCUCGUUUGCGGGAUAAUUUAGUCGUGUGUUGGAACCUUCCAAAAAGAGGGAGGGGAAAAAAAAAAGAGAGUGGAAGAGAAUAAGAAGAAAAACGAGCACAAAAGAGUAAAUGUAAAUUCGUUUUUAACGAGAUAUUUCCAUAGAUGCGUGGCCUGCAGAGAAGAUUGCACUCUGUCGGCGAGACGGGGAAACUAAAUCGUCGAACUAGUCGAGAUUGAGAUUCCUCCCUGUUAAAACGACGUUAAUCCCUUUUAUAAUAAUAUCCACGUAGAUUGAAGGACAACUUAAUUAGCCGAGAUCGUUAGAAUCCCCGUGAAAGGCCACGACGAUGCUCCCCAUCGGACUAGAAUUCGUCGAUUAUGCGGAGAAUAACCUUCGUUCCUAUUAUAGAUUCAUUUUCAGAUAAUUUUAACAUCGAAGAAUAAGACCGUGAAAGAAAGAAAAAAAGUGAAAAUUUUUGACUAACGACUAAUUUAAUAUGCUGCUUAGAUAACAAGUAUCUGAUUAUGGAUAUUAUACAUUCUUAAUUUAUUUAAUUUCGUUCACUCGACGAAUAUACGAGAUAUUCUUUUUUUCUUCGUUUGCAGGAACUUCAUUUCAAUUACACUGGAAGCUGUGUUCAGGAAGUUUAAUAUGCAAUUAUCGUUCCGGAACAAAUGAAAGAGGAGUGUCAAUCGAGGAAAACACGAAGGUUAAAAACAAUUGACUAACGACAUAAAGGAAUACGUAAUAAGAGCAUACGAGUCAAAGGUAAAUGUUCGCGUUAAUAGGCAAUUACCAAGCAGUUUCCGCGUGGAACACGUUCCUCUCGAUGAAAGCCUUACGCUUGCCGACCGUAUAAUCGAAAAUUAGGGUGCAGUUAGCAAGUGCUUAAGCAACAACUGUUUAUU